UGGGGAAUUUUGCGCAAUGGGCGAAAGCCUGACGCAGCAACGCCGCGUGAGUGAUGAAGGUCUUCGGAUCGUAAAGCUCUUUCGGCCGGGACGAAAACGGGUUGGCCAAUAUCCAGCUCCUUGACGGUACCGGAAUAAGAAGCACCGGCUAACUCUGUGCCAGCAGCCGCGGUAAUACAGAGGGUGCAAGCGUUGUUCGGAAUUAUUGGGCGUAAAGCGCGUGUAGGCGGCGACGCAUGUCGGGUGUGAAAGCCCUCGGCUUAACCGAGGAAGUGCGCCCGAAACUGCGUUGCUCGAGUGCUGGAGAGGGUAGCGGAAUUCCCGGUGUAGAGGUGAAAUUCGUAGAUAUCGGGAGGAACACCAGUGGCGAAGGCGGCUACCUGGACGGACACUGACGCUGAGACGCGAAAGCGUGGGGAGCAAACAGG
rnacentral:rRNA from 1 species